UGAGGAACCUGCCUUCCAGAGGGGGACAACAGUUGGAACGACUGCUAAUACCGCAUGACGCAUGACCGGGGCAUCCCGGGCAUGUCAAAGAUUUUAUCGCUGGAAGAUGGCCUCGCGUCUGAUUAGCUAGAUGGUGGGGUAACGGCCCACCAUGGCGACGAUCAGUAGCCGGACUGAGAGGUUGACCGGCCACAUUGGGACUGAGAUACGGCCCAG
rnacentral:rRNA from 1 species